rnacentral:misc_RNA from 1 species
GAUGAAGAACGCAGCGAAAUGCGAUAAGUAAUGUGAAUUGCAGAAUUCAGUGAAUCAUCGAAUCUUUGAACGCACCUUGCGCCCCUUGGUAUUCCAUGGGGCAUGCCUGUUCGAGCGUCAUUUGUACCUUCAAGCUUUGCUUGGUGUUGGGUGUUUGUCUCGCCUUUGCGUGUAGACUCGCCUUAAAAUAAUUGGCAGCCGGCGUAUUGAUUUCGGAGCGCAGUACAUCUCGCGCUUUGCACUCAUAACGACAGCGUCCAAAAGUACAUUUUACACUCUUGACCUCGGAUCAGGUAGGGAUACCCGCUGAACUUAAGCAUAUCAAUAAGCGGAGGA